rnacentral:rRNA from 1 species
GGAGUUAGCCGGUGCUUCUUCUGUGAGUGAUGUCCUUCCUGCCGGCUAUUAACCCGCAGGCCUUCUUCCUCACUGAAAGUGCUUUACAACACGAAGGCCUUCUUCACACACGCGGCAUGGCUGGAUCAGGGUUGCCCCCAUUGUCCAAUAUUCCCCACUGCUGCCUCCCGUAGGAGUCUGGGCCGUGUCUCAGUCCCAGUGUGGCUGAUCAUCCUCUCAGACCAGCUACGGAUCGUCGCCUUGGUGAGCCGUUACCUCACCAACCAGCUAAUCCGACAUAGGCUCAUCCGAUAGCGCGAGGCCCGAAGGUCCCCCGCUUUCCCCCGUAGGGCGUAUGCGGUAUUAGCCUGGGUUUCCCCAGGUUAUCCCCCACUACCGGGCAGAUUCCUAUGCAUUACUCACCCGUCCGCCGCUCGCCACCAGGGAGCAAGCUCCCCGUGCUGCCGCUCGACUUGCAUGUGUUAGGCCUGCCGCCAGCGUUCAAUCUGAGCCAGGAUCAAACUCUGA